UAGGGAAUAUUGGACAAUGGGGGCAACCCUGAUCCAGCCAUGCCGCGUGAGUGAAGAAGGCCCUCGGGUUGUAAAGCUCUUUUGUCCGGAAAGAAAAGCUUCGGGUUAAUACCCCGGGGUUCUGACGGUACCGGAAGAAUAAGCACCGGCUAACUUCGUGCCAGCAGCCGCGGUAAUACGAAGGGUGCAAGCGUUACUCGGAAUUACUGGGCGUAAAGCGUGCGUAGGUGGUUGUUUAAGUCUGAUGUGAAAGCCCUGGGCUCAGCCUGGGAAUGGCAUUGGAAACUGGGCAGCUAGAGUGCGGUAGAGGGUAGUGGAAUUCCCGGUGUAGCAGUGAAAUGCGUAGAGAUCGGGAGGAACAUCUGUGGCGAAGGCGACUGCCUGGACCAGCACUGACACUGAGGCACGAAAGCGUGGGGAGCAAACA
rnacentral:rRNA from 1 species